UACGUAGGGGGCAAGCGUUGUCCGGAAUCAUUGGGCGUAAAGAGCGUGUAGGCGGCCCGAUAAGUCCGCUGUGAAAGUCCAGGGCUCAACCCUGGGAUGCCGGUGGAUACUGUCGGGCUCGAGUCCGGAAGAGGCGAGUGGAAUUCCUGGUGUAGCGGUGGAAUGCGCAGAUAUCAGGAGGAACACCAAUAGCGAAGGCAGCUUACUACAGGAAGAUUGACGCUGAGGCACGAAAGCGUGGGGAGCAAACAGG
rnacentral:rRNA from 1 species